rnacentral:rRNA from 1 species
GGAUCCAGACUUUGAUCCUGGCUCAGGAUGAACGCUAGCUACAGGCUUAACACAUGCAAGUCGAGGGGAAACGACAUCGAAAGCUUGCUUUUGAUGGGCGUCGACCGGCGCACGGGUGAGUAACGCGUAUCCAACCUGCCCACCACUUGGGGAUAACCUUGCGAAAGUAAGACUAAUACCCAAUGAUAUCUCUAGAAGACAUCUGAAAGAGAUUAAAGAUUUAUCGGUGAUGGAUGGGGAUGCGUCUGAUUAGCUUGUUGGCGGGGUAACGGCCCACCAAGGCAACGAUCAGUAGGGGUUCUGAGAGGAAGGUCCCCCACAUUGGAACUGAGACACGGUCCAAACUCCUACGGGAGGCAGCAGUGAGGAAUAUUGGUCAAUGGACGAGAGUCUGAACCAGCCAAGUAGCGUGCAGGACGACGGCCCUAUGGGUUGUAAACUGCUUUUAUAAGGGAAUAAAGUGAGUCUCGUGAGACUUUUUGCAUGUACCUUAUGAAUAAGGACCGGCUAAUUCCGUGCCAGCAGCCGCGGUAAUACGGAAGGUCCGGGCGUUAUCCGGAUUUAUUGGGUUUAAAGGGAGCGUAGGCCGGAGAUUAAGCGUGUUGUGAAAUGUAGACGCUCAACGUCUGCACUGCAGCGCGAACUGGUUUCCUUGAGUACGCACAAAGUGGGCGGAAUUCGUGGUGUAGCGGUGAAAUGCUUAGAUAUCACGAAGAACUCCGAUUGCGAAGGCAGCUCACUGGAGCGCAACUGACGCUGAAGCUCGAAAGUGCGGGUAUCGAACAGGAUUAGAUACCCUGGUAGUCCGCACGGUAAACGAUGGAUGCCCGCUGUUGGUCUGAAUAGGUCAGCGGCCAAGCGAAAGCAUUAAGCAUCCCACCUGGGGAGUACGCCGGCAACGGUGCAACUCAAAUGAAUUGACGG